CCUACGGGAGGCAGCAGUGGGGAAUAUUGGACAAUGGGCGAAAGCCUGAUCCAGCAAUGCCGCGUGAGUGAUGAAGGCCUUCGGGUCGUAAAGCUCUUUUACCAGGGAUGAUAAUGACAGUACCUGGAGAAUAAGCUCCGGCUAACUCCGUGCCAGCAGCCGCGGUAAUACGGAGGGAGCUAGCGUUGUUCGGAAUUACUGGGCGUAAAGAGUACGUAGGCGGUUAUUCAAGUCAGAGGUGAAAGCCCGGGGCUCAACCCCGGAACUGCCUUUGAAACUAGAUAACUAGAGUCUUGGAGAGGUUAGUGGAAUUCCGAGUGUAGAGGUGAAAUUCGUAGAUAUUCGGAAGAACACCAGUGGCGAAGGCGACUAACUGGACAAGUACUGACGCUGAGGUACGAAAGCGUGGGGAGCAAACAGGAUUAGAUACCCUGGUAGUCCACGCCGUAAACGAUGAUAACUAGUUGUUCGGUCACUUGGUGACUGAGUGACGCAGCUAACGCAUUAAGUUAUCCGCCUGGGGGUACGUCGCAAGAUUAAAACUCAAAUGAAUUGACGG
rnacentral:rRNA from 1 species